UUGAGGAAAGGAACACGCUAGAAUGGCCUCCAAAAAGCCAAACCAACCAAAACCAAAAACCCAUCCCAACCAUUUUUAUUGGAGUACACCACUGUUAUCCAGUACCGCCACAACAACGUCACUCUCCUCACCCCUCUCAUCUCUAACUCCAACGCACCCACUUUCCACCCUCCGAUUCACUGACCACCGUCUGAAGCGACACGGUGAAGAGACACGUGUCAACCCAGUGGUUUUCCUCCGGGGCCCACGUAAGAUAUUUUAACCUCCAAAGCCUCCCUUCCCAAUACGAACAAAGGAAAAUUCACAAAACCCGCACAGCCAAUCCUGUGCCUCCACGUUUCACUCGCCGGGAAACCUAGGGUUUUGAUCAGAUACUCCGCCGGAGCAACGUAGCUCAAAAUUUCCAUAUUUAAAAAAAAAAAAAAAAAAAAAAAGUCUAUUUAUGUACUUUAUUUAAUUCUUCCCCACCCCGAGCGAAACGAUGUCGUUUCUGCGGCGGAGAAAGGCCACGAAGGCCGAGGAGAACAACUCAGAAGACCCUCAGAUUGACACCGCCUCAAAAAACGACGACGUUGUUGAUAACGAUAACAAAAAACAGAAGCUUCAUCAAAAGCAAGAGAGCGAAGAAAGUUCUAGAAGAAGAAGAAGAAGUUCUUCGAGGAGAUGGACUUGCGUCGACAGCUGUUGCUGGUUCAUUGGGUGCAUAUGCUCGAUCUGGUGGUUCUUGCUAUUCAUGUACAACGCAAUGCCAGCUUCGUUUCCUCAGUACGUAACGGAAGCGAUAACGGGACCGUUGCCUGACCCUCCCGGCGUCAAAUUGAGGAAGGAAGGGUUAACGGCGCAACAUCCGGUCGUUUUCGUGCCCGGAAUCGUCACCGGCGGGCUCGAAUUGUGGGAGGGGCACCAGUGCGCCGAGGGAUUGUUUAGGAGGAGACUCUGGGGUGGCACAUUUGGUGAAUUGUACAGAAGGCCAUUAUGCUGGGUUGAGCACAUGUCACUGGACAAUGAAACUGGACUGGACUCUCCUGGUAUAAGGGUGAGGCCUGUAUCUGGACUUGUGGCGGCUGAUUACUUUGCACCAGGUUAUUUUGUCUGGGCAGUCUUAAUUGCCAAUUUGGCUCGCAUUGGAUAUGAGGAGAAAACCAUGUAUAUGGCUGCAUAUGAUUGGAGAUUGUCGUUUCAAAACACUGAGGUCAGAGACCAAACUCUAAGCAGGAUAAAAAGCAAUGUAGAACUCAUGGUAGCUACAAAUGGUGGAAAAAAGGUGGUUGUUAUUCCACACUCAAUGGGUGUUAUCUACUUUCUGCAUUUCAUGAAAUGGGUUGAGGCACCAGCUCCAAUGGGUGGUGGUGGCGGGUCGAAUUGGUGUGCUAAGCAUAUCAAAGCAGUGAUGAAUAUUGGUGCACCCUUUCUAGGUGUCCCAAAAGCAGUCUCUGGACUUUUCUCUAUUGAAGCGAAGGAUGUUGCUGUUGCCAGGGCUUUCGCACCAGGUGUUUUGGAUAAGGAUGUUUUUGGUCUUCAAACUCUACAACAUAUGAUGCGGAUGACCCGUACAUGGGAUUCAACCAUGUCAAUGAUACCAAAAGGCGGGGAUACCAUUUGGGGUGGCCUUGAUUGGUCUCCUGAAGGAUACUUCAACUGUAGUGCAAAGAAGUUGAAAAAUAAUGAUACCAACACUGCAGACCAAAAUGGAAAGGGAGGUCUGGGUUCUACAAAAAGAGUAAAUUAUGGGAGGAUCAUUUCAUUUGGGAAAGAUGUAGCUGAGAUACAUUCCUCUGAGAUUGAGAUGGUGGAUUUCAGGGAUGCUUUCAAGGGUAGUAACCUUAUAAAUGCAACCAAGUGUGAUGUAUGGACAGAGUACCAUGAAAUGGGUAUUGAGGGUGUAAAAGCUAUUGCAGAUUACAAAGUUUACACAGCUGGGUCAAUUUUGGAUCUGCUUCAUUAUGUUGCCCCCAAGAUGAUGGCACGUGGAGAUGCUCAUUUUUCAUAUGGAAUUGCUGACAAUUUGGAUGACCCUAAAUACCAACAUUACAAAUAUUGGUCAAACCCCUUAGAAACAAAAUUACCAAAUGCUCCAGACAUGGAAAUCUACUCUAUGUAUGGCGUUGGAGUUCCCACGGAAAGAGCAUAUGUAUACAAGUUAACUCCUCCCUCAGAAUGUUACAUUCCAUUUCAGAUAGAUACCUCAGCAGAGGGUGGAAGUGAGGACUCUUGUCUAAAAGGUGGUGUUUUUUCUGUUGACGGAGAUGAAACUGUGCCUGUUUUAAGUUCAGGUUUUAUGUGUGCUAAAGGUUGGCGGGGAAAAACCCGUUUCAAUCCUUCAGGCAUUCAUACUUACAUAAGGGAGUACAAUCAUGCCCCUCCCGCUAAUCUUCUAGAGGGCCGGGGCACCCAAAGUGGUGCCCAUGUUGAUAUAAUGGGUAAUUUUGCAUUGAUAGAAGAUAUUAUAAGAGUAGCAGCGGGGGCCACUGGAGAGGACUUGGGUGGGGAUCGAGUUUACUCUGAUAUUUUCAAAUGGUCCGAAAACAUCAACUUACAACUCUAGAUUCAUGAAAUCAUGCUUGACUAAUAUAAUAUAAUCAAAGGACACACAAUAUAUUGAGCAUAUUAGCUUUUUACUAUGCUUCAAGGGACCUGAUGAUGUACUGCCUUCCCAUGUUAGCAGCGGUAAUUGAAGCAGUGCACUUUUUUGCUCUCAUUGAAGCCUAAGAGUUGAGGUGCUCGCUGCUGAAGCAAAAAUGCAUAGAUAUAUAUAUAUAUAUAUAUAUAUAUAUAAAUGUUGUAUGUGUAGUCUGCAUUCUUUCAGGAAGCACCGAGUUUGAUUUAUGAAUUGGUAUCCCACGUUGCUGGGUUCCCUGUUGUUUUCGGUGCACUAACUUGUAGAGUCCAUAGGUCCCAGAAAUUUUUGAUAUUCAUUUAAUUUAUUUGAUCUUUGUCAAUAUAAGUUACUGUUAAUUAGUGCAUGUUACUUUGUAAUUA